UACGUAGGGCGCAAGCGUUGUCCGGAAUUAUUGGGCGUAAAGAGCUCGUAGGCGGCUUGUUGCGUCGGUUGUGAAAGCCCGGGGCUUAACCCCGGGUCUGCAGUCGAUACGGGCAGGCUAGAGUGUGGUAGGGGAGAUCGGAAUUCCUGGUGUAGCGGCGAAAUGCGCAGAUAUCAGGAGGAACACCGGUGGCGAAGGCGGAUCUCUGGGCCAUUACUGACGCUGAGGAGCGAAAGCGUGGGGAGCGAACAGG
rnacentral:rRNA from 1 species